AUUGAACGCUGGCGGCAGGCCUAACACAUGCAAGUCGAGCGGAUGAAGGGAGCUUGCUCCUGGAUUCAGCGGCGGACGGGUGAGUAAUGCCUAGGAAUCUGCCUGGUAGUGGGGGAUAACGUCCGGAAACGGGCGCUAAUACCGCAUACGUCCUGAGGGAGAAAGUGAGGGAUCUUCGGACCUCACGCUAUCAGAUGAGCCUAGGUCGGAUUAGCUAGUUGGUGGGGUAAAGGCCUACCAAGGCGACGAUCCGUAACUGGUCUGAGAGGAUGAUCAGUCACACUGGAACUGAGACACGGUCCAGACUCCUACGGGAGGCAGCAGUGGGGAAUAUUGGACAAUGGGCGAAAGCCUGAUCCAGCCAUGCCGCGUGUGUGAAGAAGGUCUUCGGAUUGUAAAGCACUUUAAGUUGGGAGGAAGGGCAGUAAGUUAAUACCUUGCUGUUUUGACGUUACCAACAGGAUAAGCACCGGCUAACUUCGUG
rnacentral:rRNA from 1 species